UGGCAGCAUAUAGUUGGAUAAAUACAUUUUUCACACAAUAUAUCAGUGAAAAUUAAAAUUAUGGUGCAAAUAAUGAUAAUUUCCUUUCCUUUUGAAUCAAAUCACAACACAGUUUAUGCUAAAAAUAAUCUUAAUAUGAUUGCAGCCCUAAUACAAAUCUUUGACUAACCUUUGGCUGACCUUUCCUAUAAUUUUUGCAUUCCAGAACACAGUUGAAACACCAGCUUGAUGGUUAUAAUGCCAGUGCUGACUAAAAAGAAAACAUAUAAAAUGCAUUUUAUCUGUCAACAACAAUCACCCCUGUGUCUAGAAUCAACAAGAUCCAUGAAAAAUGCUUGCAUUAUUUUGAAAUCUCCUCAAAAGCCCAACAAAGUGAACCAGACAGAUGGACUGCAGUCAGGAUCUUGGAGGCAGCUGCCUUCAGAUGUGCUGGUAUUAAUAGUCGAAAAAAACUGAAGUAUAGAGAUCUUUCACAGUGAAAACAGCGUGUAUUUCUGCGCUGUCGGCACCUUUGCUGUGCUGCAGAUAGUUGUCAAGUUGCACAAAAAUCAAAGAAACAUGACUGACUUGAUAAAACACACUGAUAACGUAGAUAAACAAACAUGAGAUACGGUAAUAAAAGGCAAAAGUAACUCGCAAAUUUAAGGAUCAACACUGUGUUUUUAUCCAUGACGAAGGAUCCUGAACAUAACAAAUCUCUGUCUCCUCCCCCCUGAGGUGAUCCUGUAACAUCCGUUCAGUCUGUCAGUCGAUGCAGAAAGAGAGGAGGAUGAAGACAUCAUGAUCAGAAACAUCAACAGGAUCACUCUGCUGCUUCUCUGGCUCUCCUGUCGUUCACUGAGCGUUCAAGUCGAUCAGGGUCCAUCAUCGAUAUUAGGAAGCCCUGAUGGCUCAGCAACAAUCAGCUGCAACCAUUCGCACAGUUCAUACAAUGUAAUACUGUGGUACCAGCGGCCGACGGGAGAAUCUGGCCUCAAACUCAUUGGAUAUACUCAGUAUACGAGUCCAACCCUAGAGGAGCCAUUCAAACAGCGUUUCAAGGUGACAGGAGACGGCUCAGCAAAAUCUGAACUUCAUGUAGAAAAGCUCAGACUGCCAGAAGACAGCGGCAUGUAUUACUGCGCAGCUAGUAGCACAGUGACUCAAUUUCCCUCUCGUCUAUACAAAAACCCUCUCUGAUAGUCAGCCACAUAAAUUCCCAGUGAAGAAGAGCACACCUGCAUCUAACUGCAGCCUGUGGCAGGAAAUCUUCACUGAUAUCAGCCUCAAACCAGUCUUUUUCUGUGUUUAAAGGAAGGCCUAACUCUGGUAUUCUCCGACGUGGAUCCUAUUUUCCCAUGUUUUGUGUCUAAGUUACUCAUCAGGACAAGAGAUUUUGAAAUAAGUCUAAUAUUGAGGUAGACGGCUGCAGCUGCAAUGUAAUCCCUACAGACAAUUACACACUGUCAAAGUACGUCCACUGUAAUUGUGUCGUUGUUCUAAGUGUCUGACAACAUAAUGAAAAAGAUCCCUACACAGAUGGUUAUUUUAAUUAAAGAUUAACAUCCUUUUUGUUUACCCAGAAACAGGCGUGUUUCCUUCCGCCAAAGCCACCAGACUCCAUUUGGAAAAACAGUUAUUUAAUCUUUGUAAAACUAACUUCAUUUAAACUCGACAGGAAUACAAAAUAAACCUCAACAAAACAAUCCUCAUUUGUCUAUCUACUCUUCAACAACCACCAACCCUGUUUAAGUCUCAAUAAUCUCCCCAUUAACCGUGACUGAAAAUAUCAGUACAGGAGCGUGAGAAAGGGUUAGGGGUUUAGGGGUUUCGACACAAAAAUGCAGCUAAAUAGGGUCCAGGUUGAGAAAUAACUGAGUUACCCUUUAAUCAACACCGCAAGAUACUAUACAAAUCCACUGAUGAAGAUAUGUGACGGUCCAUAAUGUCGACUCCUCCUCCUCCUCCUUCACAUCCAGGCAGCUCUCUUCUGUUUGCAGUCAUCAUCUGAGUUUCCAUCAUGAUUAGACUCCUCGUAUAUUUAGCAGCUCUUCCGUUCUGUGUAACAGAACUCUCAAAAAACAGUGUCCAACAGACUCCCACUGCCCUGAUCAAACAUGCUGGAGAAGAAGUCCUGAUGACCUGCAACCAUUCAAACACUAAUUUUGAUAUGAUCCAGUGGUACAAACAGUCUGCUGGGAGAAAUGAUAUGGCUCUAGUUGGCUAUGUACGUUACACUUCUGAGGAGGUUGAAGAUCAAUUUAAAGACUUUUGUGAAGUCACCGGUAACGGGGGAAGUCUGUCAAGUCUGAAGAUUGCAAAGAGUCGAUCUGAAGACAGCGCAGUGUAUUUCUGUGGUG